GAUGAACGCUGGCGGCGUGCCUAAUACAUGCAAGUCGAACGGAGAUUCUGUCGUAAUUCGUUACAGCGGAAAUCUCAGUGGCGAACGGGUGAGUAACGCGUUGGUGACCUGCCCCGGAGAGGGGGAUAACAGCUUGAAAGGGCUGCUAAUACCCCAUGAUGUCUAGAGGGUUAGAAACUUCUAGACGAAAGGCUUCGGUCGCUUCGGGAGGGGCCUGCGUCCCAUCAGCUAGUUGGUAGGGUAAUGGCCUACCAAGGCGAAGACGGGUAGGGGACCUGAGAGGGUGACCCCCCACAAUGGAACUGAAACACGGUCCAUACACCUACGGGUGGCAGCAGCAGGGAAUAUUGCACAAUGGGCGAAAGCCUGAUGCAGCAACGCCGCGUGCGCGAAGAAGGCCUUCGGGUUGUAAAGCGCUUUUCGGGGAGAAGAGAAAGGACGGUUCCC
rnacentral:rRNA from 1 species